rnacentral:rRNA from 1 species
UGGCUCAGAAUGAACGUUGGCGGCGUGGAUUAGGCAUGCAAGUCGUACGGGCAGCUUUUAGCAAUAAAAGCUGUCAGUGGCGAAAGGGAGAGUAAUGCGUGGAUAACGUACCCCCAGGACUGGGAUAGGGGCGGGAAACCGCCGGUAAUACCAGAUAAUGUCUCCGGACCAAAGGUGCGAUUCCGCCUGGGGAGCGGUCCACGUGCUAUUAGCUAGUUGGUAGGGUAAUGGCCUACCAAGGCUGUGAUGGCUAGCGGGUGUGAGAGCAUGGCCCGCCUCACUGGGACUGAGACACUGCCCAGACACCUCCGGGUGGCUGCAGUCGAGAAUCUUCGGCAAUGGGCGCAAGCCUGACCGAGCGACGCCGCGUGCGGGAUGAAGGCCUUCGGGUUGUAAACCGCUGUCAGAGGGGAGCAAAUGUUCGGGGGUUCUCCCCUGAACUUGAGCGAUCCUCAGAGGAAGCACGGGCUAAGUUCGUGCCAGCAGCCGCGGUAAGACGAACCGUGCGAACGUUAUUCGGAAUUACUGGGCUUAAAGGGUGCGUAGGCGGCUCAGUAAGUUGGGUGUGAAAGCCCUCGGCUCAACCGAGGAAUUGCGCCCAAAACUGCUGGGCUAGAGUGAGUCAGAGGAGAGCGGAACUCACAGUGGAGCGGUGAAAUGCGUUGAUAUUGUGAGGAACACCAGUGGCGAAAGCGGCUCUCUGGGGCUCUACUGACGCUGAAGCACGAAAGCUAGGGGAGCAAACGGGAUUAGAUACCCCGGUAGUCCUAGCCGUAAACGAUGAGCACUAGGUCGAGGGA